rnacentral:misc_RNA from 1 species
UCUGGAGUCCGCUUCCCGCGGCUCUGACUUGUGGAAAAAUACAGGAUACGGCGGGUCUUGCGACCCUCGUAUCCGCGAUUCAGAGAACAAUGACAAGGCUGGAAGCGCGAGACCGGUACUACGGUAUCGGUCAGACGCGAGAAGACAAGAGUAGAAACACAACAGAGUUUCACACGAGCAAACCAUAGGCGAAAGAACAUGUCGGACACAGAGUCUGAAGUUAAGGAAAAACGGAAUGACAAAGGGCGCAUGGGGGAUGCCUAGGCUCUCGGAGGCGAAGAAGGACGUGACAAGCUGCGAAAAGCUGCGGCGAGCGGCAAAUACGCUGAGACCCGCAGAUGUC